AACGCGUAUGCAACCUACCUUUAACAGAGGGAUAGCCCAGAGAAAUUUGGAUUAAUACCUCAUAAUAUUUUCACAACACAUGUUGUGAUUCUUAAAGAUUUAUCGGUUAAAGAUGGGCAUGCGUGACAUUAGCUUGAUGGUGAGGUAACGGCUCACCAUGGCGACGAUGUCUAGGGGUUCUGAGAGGAAGAUCCCCCACACUGGUACUGAGACACGGACCAGACUCCUACGGGAGGCAGCAGUGAGGAAUAUUGGUCAAUGGACGCAAGUCUGAACCAGCCAUGCCGCGUGAAGGAUGACUGCCCUAUGGGUUGUAAACUUCUUUUAUAGAGGAAGAAACGUGAAUACGUGUAUUCAUUUGACGGUACUCUACGAAUAAGGAUCGGCUAACUCCGUGCCAGCAGCCGCGGUAAUACGGAGGAUCCAAGCGUUAUCCGGAAUCAUUGGGUUUAAAGGGUCCGCAGGCUGUUGUUUAAGUCAGAGGUGAAAGUUUGCAGCUCAACUGUAAAAUUGCCUUUGAUACUGGAUAACUUGAGUAAUAAUGAAGUGGUUAGAAUAUGUAGUGUAGCGGUGAAAUGCAUAGAUAUUACAUAGAAUACCGAUU
rnacentral:rRNA from 1 species